GGAAAUUGGAGAGAAACACCAGUAACAGUCAUUCAGUCCCGUCACCCCUUUUCCAUUCUUAAUCGUUCACAAACAAGAAUCUGACGCUUGGUUUCAAAACCUAGUGCGCUGCCUACGUAAGCAACAUUUUAAGACAUCACUCCCAAUCCAAAUGCUUUUCCGAAAGAAACUUCAUCCAGAAGGCCGGCCACACACUGACAUGUACUGCGUGGUAUGAAGACCAUGCCCGAGUCAUUUCCUCCCAUCGGUUUCAAUCAAGAAGAGCAGCCGCCCCGGCUUAUACCCUUUAUACUCGAGCCAAGUUCAGUCACAUGAUGUUCUCACUUUGAGUGUUUUUAUGGACUGAGAGAGUGAAGGAGAUGCCUGUUAUUCU